UACGGAGGGUGCAAGCGUUAUCCGGAUUUACUGGGUUUAAAGGGUGCGUAGGUGGCGUCGUAAGUCGGGUGUGAAAUCUCGGGGCUUAACUCCGAAACUGCAUUCGAUACUGCGGUGCUUGAGGACUGGAGAGGAGACUGGAAUUUACGGUGUAGCAGUGAAAUGCGUAGAGAUCGUAAGGAAGACCAGUGGCGAAGGCGGGUCUCUGGACAGUUCCUGACACUGAGGCACGAAGGCCAGGGGAGCAAACGGG
rnacentral:rRNA from 1 species